rnacentral:rRNA from 1 species
GAUGAACGCUGGCGGCGUGCCUAAUACAUGCAAGUCGAGCGAAUGGAUUAAGAGCUUGCUCUUAUGAAGUUAGCGGCGGACGGGUGAGUAACACGUGGGUAACCUGCCCAUAAGACUGGGAUAACUCCGGGAAACCGGGGCUAAUACCGGAUAACAUUUUGAACCGCAUGGUUCGAAAUUGAAAGGCGGCUUCGGCUGUCACUUAUGGAUGGACCCGCGUCGCAUUAGCUAGUUGGUGAGGUAACGGCUCACCAAGGCAACGAUGCGUAGUCGCACGGAGAGGGUGAGCGGCCACACUGGGACUGAGCCACGGCCCGCACUCCUACGGGAGGCAGCAGUAGGGAAUCUUCCGCAAUGGACGAAAGUCUGACGGAGCAACGCCGCGUGAGUGAUGAAGGCUUUCGGGUCGUAAAACUCUGUUGUUAGGGAAGAACAAGUGCUAGUUGAAUAAGCUGACACCUUGACGGUACCUAACCAGAAAGCCACGGCUAACUACGUGCCAGCAGCCGCCGUAA